rnacentral:rRNA from 1 species
CCCUUAGAUGUUCUGGGCUGCACGCGCGCUACACUGAAGCGUUCAACGAGUAUUCACCUUGCCCGGGAGGGUUGGGCAAUCUUUGAACGCCAGUCGUGAUGGGGAUAGAUUCUUGCAAUUUUUGAUCUUCAACGAGGAAUUCCUAGUAAACGCGAGUCAUCAACUCGCAUUGAUUACGUCCCUACCCUUUGUACACACCGCCCGUCGCACCUACCGAUUGAAUGGUCCGGUGAACCCUCCGGAUCGGCUCGCGCCAACGCAAGUUGAGCAAAGGCCGAGAAGUUGGGUAAACCUUACCAUUUAGAGGAAGGUGAAGUCGUAACA